GCUAUACUAUAAUAAAGUUCGCCGAUAGUAGCUCCGGCUUGAACCCAUGCCGUCUCGGUUUUCAUGUCGAUAUCUAUAGACUUAAGGUUGAACAUAUCGAGGAUAACAAACGGGACGUCGGAAAUAUACGAAAGUCCCUCGUAAUCAUGUCCGCCACUUCGAAUCCUUAGCUGAAAACCAUGACGCUUAGCGCAAAUGACCGCAGCUUGUGCAUGGGAUGGAUGUAGAGCGGUGAUAAUAGCCACCGGCCUUGAAGUCGCAGAUAAUAAGAUUCGAAGAUUGUUAGCACGUAAUUGAUAAGUAGAUUGGAAAGAUGCAUUGUUGGGAGUCAAUAUAGCGCCAGCAAUCGAGACAGAAUGGCCGGAAUGUUUAGGAAGGCAUUGAAGAAAAGCAUCGAAAUCGACCGGAUUGUAAGAUGCUGCCGAUGAAAUCGACAACAAAACGAAAAUCGAAACAAUUAAACAGGUGUAGCUUGAAGCUUUCAUUUUGGAAAUAAUGCGAAGAGAUAUGGUAAUGGUGCAUUGUUGUUAUGGUAUAUAUAAUGGUGAAGGUGUGGCAUUUGGAUCAAAUUGGAAAGCUUAUCUAAAUGUGUGAAAGGUUUAGAAAGCAUACGACUUAUAAGUUAAAAGACUUUUCAACAACGAAAUUCAUUGUUUUAUUCGAGGGUAAAUUAUUAAAAUAGUCACUUUUGUUUACCUUAAGUUACAUUUUAGUCACUUACGUUAUCGUGUUGUAACAUUUUAGUUACCGAACUGUUAAUUGUUGUUAACGGUGUAAUGGUAAGCUGAUGUACGUUAAAUUAUCAUUUUAAACGAAAAUUUUAGGUUAAAUUAUACUAUUGGUUUCUAUACUUUUUCGUUUUAAGUAAUUUAAUUUUUUUCUUUUAUGUUUUUUUAACUUUUCUUUUUUUUUUUUUAUUUUCCAUUCUCUCCUGCUUCUCCCCCUGUUUUCCUCCCCUCUUCAUUCCUUUUAAUGUAGUUUUUCUAUAUUUUCCAUUUAUUAAAACUAAUCCUUAUACUUUUAUUUUUUUUGAACAAUUUAAUUUUUUUUCUUUUUACUUAUUUAUUUUCCUUUUAGUUUUUCUUUAAAACCAGUCUCAUAUUUUUCACUGCAUAAACAUAAUCUUUGCCCACCAAAUAACCCAAGUUCUUUUUUCUUUCACAUGUUUCCUAAAUAAAUUUCAUACAAAACCGAAUAUUAAUCAUUCUUAAUCAAAUCUCGAUUUGAAUAUAACCUAAUUUUGAAACUAAAAUUGGAUCUGACUAAUCAAUAUAAAAAGUUAUAUCAUUAAUAAUAUCUAAACAUAAAUUUAAUUCUUUAUAUUCAAAACAAAAUUUUCUAUUUUCAAAUUUUUACAGAAUCGUGUAGAUUAUUCAUUUCCUUUUCUUUUAUUUUCUGACGAAUAAAAUUAAACAAACGAUAAAAUUGAUAUAAACCUUCUUGGAUAUUCCCAAACAAGCUUGAUUAGUGGCCGAGCAUGGAUGAAUCGAAGAGAGAAAGGAAGCAUGGACUCAAAUUGACUUGGGUUAAGUUGAGGGUAGUUUCGUAUGGUAUUUGUUUUAGUCAUUGAGAGUGUAGAGCUCUUUUGAAAAAUCCGUGAAACAACGUUGUUAUAGAGGAUGAGAAUGUUGUAGGUAAGAUAUAUAAGGUGAUUGUGGGGGUUGGUUAGGAGGUUGAGAGAACAAGCUUAGGAAACUUUUUUUAGGGUGGAUUGCCAUGACUGGCGAGGUCUUCAAGUGAGGUGAGCUUGUAGGCUAAGUUAUUGAGAGAUCUAAAUUGAUUCGUUAAAGCGGUGAUGGACGAUGACGGUUUGUAAUUGUGUGGUGAGAAUAUGCAAAACAAGUUUUAUUUUGAUUUCAGCUUUCACAUUUUCUUUUUUCAUAAAUAUAAAAAAGUUUUAAUAAAUAGAAAAUAUAGAAAAACUACGUUAAAAGAAAUGGAUAAGGUAGGAAAAUAGGGGGAGAAGCGGAAGAGAAUGGACAAUAAAAAAAAGUUAAAAGAACAUAAUCGAAAAACAAAUUUGCUCAAAAUGAAAAAAUAUAGGGACCAAUUGUUCAAUUUAACCUAAAAGUUUUGUUUGAAAUGAUGAUUUAACAUGCCAUGUGGGCUUACUGUUACACCGUUAACUGCAAUUAACAGCUCAGUGGCUAAAAUGUUAUAAUACAAAAAAGUAAGUGACUGAAACGUGACAUUUCAAAUAUCAAUAACUAAAAUGUAACCCGGACAAACAAAAAUAACUAUUUUAAUGGUUUAUCCUUAUUAAUAUUUAAUACAAUAUUUGUUUUCACCAAAAUAUGAAAUAUUCAAUCAUUCUUGAAAUAGGGGAAGCUAGAAAUAUUUAAAAGAUUUUUGUAGGCGCCGCCACGCUAUGCCCCUGUCUUGGAAUCAAUUAAAAAUUGCUAUUACCCAACCUAUGUUUGGUUCAACUUUUAAUUAGAUGGUUUAAUUGAAUUUUAAAAGGAAAUUAAGAUUAUAAACUAAAUUUUAUAAAAAUAGAAUAGAUGUAUAUACAAACAUGAUAAGAUAUUUAACUUUUUUUUUUUUGGGUACAUACCCCUUUUAUCAGGAGAGUACAAUUUAAAAGUUAGGGUGUAGUACCUGAGGACUGGUAGAGGCCUCAGCUUUUUUUAAAUGAUUUUUUUUAUUUAGGUCUUUUAUAAUUUUUAAAAUUUGAAUUUAAUAAAGAUAAAAUGAUAAAAAUUUGAUUUAGCCUUUUAAAAAUUAUAAAUAUAUAAGCAAUUAACAAUGUGAAGUUGCAUUUUUACUAUCGUAAAGUUUGCAAUUUAAUUUCGGUCCGUCCUAAAAAUAAUUUCUAGCUUUGCCCCUGAUUCUUGACCUCUCAAAAUAAAAAAAUUUGUCUGUUUAGUCUCCUCUAAAAUAGUUGAAUUAUAAAUUAAUAUAUGAUAAAAUUAUACUUUGAUCCCAAAAAAUAAAAUAAAAAAUUCUUUCUAGUCUCUUAAAAAUAAUGAAAUUGUAAAUUAAUAAGUGAUAAAAUUAUUUUUUGGCCUCUCAAAAAUUUAUAAUUAAAUUUUAGCCUCUAAAAGAAUUUCUAGACCCUUGCCUUUGAGAAGAAAGAGCAAAUCAUUAUCUCCCACACACGUAAGAAGGCGAUCCCUAUGACUUGAACCCACAAUGUGAACAAAUCAUUGCCAUGCACAAAUAGGAAUCUUGCGACUUGAACGGACAAUAUGAGAUGUAAGGUGAAGACUCAUAACCAAUAAACCAAAUGUUGGAGUUCAAUGAGAUAUUUAUAUAAUAUAAUUAUUAGGGUUUUUUAAAUUUUAUAUUAUAAAUUUUUUAUUAUUUAUUAAUAUUAUUAAGCUCGAAUUUAACUAAAUUAAUAGCUCGAGCUCGACUCAAUAAUUAUUGAAUCAAGUUUAAAUUUUCUUAAGUCGAACUCAAGUAGUUUGCGAAUCCUAAUGUCUCAUUUAUACUCUUAUUUCAAGUUCUCCAACUCUCCCAAAAACACUUUUUGUGUGUGUAUGAAAAUGACGGAACCCUUUCAGGAAGAGUACAUUGCCAUCUAUCCUAUGAUAAAGUUUGCCGGUAGUAGCUCCUGCUUGAAUUCACGCUGUCUCAGUCGACAUAUCGAUGUCUAUAGAGUUUUGGUUGAACAUAUCGAGCAUAAUAAACAAGACGCCAGAAGUUUACGAAAGUCCCUCGAAAUCAUGACCACCACUUCGAAUCCUUAGUUGAAAAUCAUGUUGCUUGGCGCAAAUGAUAGCGGCUUGUGCAUGAGAUGAAUGUAGAGCAGUUAUAAUGGCAACCGAUCUAGAAGUUGCUGAUAAUAAGGGUCGAAGAUUGCUAGCACAUAAUUGGUAUAUAUAUUGAAAAGAUGAAUUGUUAGGGAGUUAAUAUUGCAUCGCAUUUAUUGGACACGUUGCAGACACUUAGACGAGAAUCAAUGAGCAAUCGAAGAAGAGCCAAAACAUGCUCGACGUUGGGACAAGGAGCGUCAGCUUGUUAGGACAACGCGACGGACAACGUCAUGACGAGGCAAAUGAGACAUUGUGACAUCACGAUGUAUUCUCCUAUUUGGCAACCGCAUUUUAUAUUUCAAACAGAACUUCUUCUCUUAGUUAGAUUCUGAUUAUUUCAGGAAUAUUUUAGUAUGAUUAGAACUUUAAUCUUAGCCUAUUUAAAGGGGCUAUCGUAUCCUUAUUUUGACAAGCCAAUGAGCAAUGACUUUUCUUUGAGGGUUGCAUAUGAGUUUUGGUGAAGUUUCGUGGAUGGAGAUAAUUUUGUUCCCAAGUUAAGACUUUGUUUUCGGGGUUUAGGUUUUUAUGUUUAGUACAUUUAAGUUUAUUUUCUUCAUAUUGUACUCUCGUUUGUUUACUCAUUUAAUGAAAAAUCAAAGCAUCCUUUACUCGUGGUUUUUAUUUCUUUGAGGGCUUUCCACGUAAAAUAUUUGUGUUCAUUCUUCUUUGUGUUUUCUGUUUUGUUGUCUAUACGGGUCAAGUCCCAACAUUUUGCUUUUAAACAUUAUGCGACAAUGUUCUAUUUAUUUAAAAUUUUCAUUUUAAAUUUAGCUACAUAAGAUUUGAUGUGUCGAUAGUUAAAUUAAUGGUUUUAAUAACAAAAUGACCUGAUUUAUACAAUCUCGAUCUUUUAAGAUGCAAUUAGAAUGUUUUGAAGUUUGGGACCAAUUUAGAAUGAAAGUUUGGGGAUGUUUAGUACAAUUAACCCUACAUAAAAUUAAUUGAUUUCAAGAAAAUUCAAGAAUUAAUGUUAAAAAAAAAAGAAAAUUUAAAAUUUUAUAUAUUUUUUAUUCUUUAAAAAAAUAGAUUUUUAUAAAAUUAAAAUUUUAUAUUUGGGUCAAAUAAAAAAUUAAUAUAUAUGGAAGAAAGUCGAAUGAAGAUUUUAUUCAAUUUAAGAACAAUUUAAAAAAACAAAAAUGAAAUUUCUUUAUUGAAAAGUCUUAGAAACAAGUUAUAGAAAGGUGGCCCAAUCAUAAUCUUAUGAGUAACAAGUCACCCAAAAUUCAGAAAAUAUCCAGGUUCGCUUAAAAUCAUCACCACAAUAAGCUCUUGCAAACUCCUAAUAAAUAUAGAUUCACCAAAGCUAGAAAAGCACAUAAUAGAAACUAUAGAGAGAAAAAUAAUGAUCCCUAUGGAAACGGAUAGAAAAUGGAUCAUGAACUUAGUGUCAUUAAUUACCACAAAUACAACAAGCUUUGGGUCACCAAAUCUUUUUCAAUAAUUCCUAAUCUACUGUGGUCACUAAACUAACUAUAAAUACGAUUAAGGCAAGUGUACCUAUCGAACAAUAGUAUAGCUGUGGCGAGUAGAGAAUAUGGUAUCCAUAAGGACUAAAAGUGCUAGUAAUUACCGUUUUUCUAUUAUUUAGUCGACAAAUUGGAAUGAUUGUUUUUAAUCUAAAAUUACUAGACUAAUCUAACUAAGAAUGCAACAGAGAAUGAAAUAGGAAAAUAAUCAAAGAUAACCAAUGAGAUAGACAAUACCCAGGAAAGAAUCUACCUAAACUUCACCUAUUAUUAUGAAUCUGAAUUAAACGAUUUAUUCACUUACGUCUUGAUCCGUAGAAAUCCUUAAAUUAUAUUAAUAUCUCUUUCGAGAGUAAGAACAACUGACUCUAGGUUGAUUAAUUGAAAUCUCUUUCUAAUUAAAACUCCUAUUGUCGCAUUAACUCAAUCUAUGGAUUCCCCUAUUAGAUUUGACUCUAAUCUGGUAGAUUUAUGUCGUCCUAUUUUUAGGAUUGCAUGCAACUCCACUCAAUUAUGCUAAAUCUACUCUUAAACAUGAACUUUUGCUCCACUGAAAUAAGCACAUUAAACAUGAAUUAAUAUCGCAGAAAUAUUAAAAUAAAAAUUAAGCAUACAUAAUUGAGAACAAGAAUCAAGUAUUUAUCAUAUAAAUUAGAAAUCAAAUAAUAAGAUUCAUCAUAGGUUUCAUACUCCCUAGGUAUCUAGGGAAUUUAGUUUAUAAUCCUGAAUAGAAACAUCUCAAAGUGAAGAUAACCACAUGACAUAAAGAAACUUAAUAAAACUUUAAAAGAAAUUAAAUAGAGAUCUUUGAUCUUGAGGGAGAUUCGCUUCUGAGUUGAUUCCGAUGGCGUUCUUCGGGUGUUUUCUUCAAUCUUCUCUGAUUGCUCCCUUAUGUCUUCUUCUAAUGGGUAUUUAUAGACUUUAGAAUGCUCAUAAAAAUUGGGUUUUUUUGCGUAUUUGGGAAGUAGGAUGCGAAAUCGACACGGGCUGGCACAUGAACGUGUGACCAGCCUAUGUGGCUCACACGGGCGUGUGCCUAGCCCGUGUGGCUCCUAAAAAUAGCUCUUUUUGUCCGAUUUUAGCUCAUUUUUUCGCUCCUUUUACUCCCAAAUGCUCUCCUAAGUAUAGAAACAUGAAUUUAAAGGAUUAGGAGCAUCAAAUUUACUAAUUUUUAUAAUUAAUCAUUCAAAAACGUAUUAAAAAUGGAAUUAAACUAUGUUACUUUUAUAGCUUAUCAUCUACUUUUUCAUAACUUAAAAACUCACCAUCAUUACAACUUACAUAGCAUCCAUUGUCGCAAUCAACAAACCCCGAAAUCCAAAUCAAAUGACCUUGAAUAUUUGAUAACCAUCCAUAGUUUCAGUCAUUUUACGAAUGCUUUCUGUAGUUCCAACUUAUACCGAGAGUCGUAUUAUCAAUAGAUCAAUAUUACCUAAUAAUCACAACCAUCAUCCAAACAAGCCAACAUCUCACAACAUUAUAGAUCCCUAAAAGUUCCAAAAUAGCAUACACAUGAUGGUGUCAUGGAUCACAAAUCAAAACUAGAGAUGAAUGCACACAAAAUGUCGCAUGGAUGUGAACUGAUUAAAUGAAGUUCAUUUGACUCACCUAAACUGACCUGAUUUGUGGAAUAUGUAAUUUUUCAAAGUAUUAGAAACACUUUGAGAGCAUGUAUCCAAACACUUGGUGCGUUUAGUUUUCUUGUAGCUUAUUUUAAGAGUUAGACUAACUUAAACAAAUUAAUAAUAAAUUGACGUACGUACGUUCAUUUCCUUAGCAGCUAAAUGUUGUAUUUAAUUGGUUUUUAGACACUUUAAAAGCAUGUACCCAAACACUAAAAUUACUUUCAUUUUUGGACAUGUUUUUGGUACAAAGUUAAUUGCAUUUAAUUGUUUCUAAAGUAUUUAUUUACUAAAAAAAUGUUCAAAAAAAAGUUUGAUAUUAUCUACAUUACGUGACAUUCGGGUCAUGUAAAGAAAAAAAAUAUAGAAAAAGUCAAAAUCAAGAUCCAGAGAAUUUUAAUUUUUUUAACUUAAUCACUCAUCUAUUUUAAAAUUUAUUAUUUUAUCGUAUAAAUAGUGAAAUUAGGUUACACAAAUAAAACUACAUAUAUUAUUAUUUAAAAAAAUCUCAAAAUUAAUUUUGGUGUAAUAUGAAAUGACGUACAUAAACUUUUAUAAAUGAAAUUUUGAUUUAAUUCAAAUUUCACAAACUAUUAAUAUCUUUAUUAAUACAUAAUAAUUUUUCGUUUUUAUAUUACUUAUAUAUUCAAUUUAAAAUUAAAUUAAUGUAUUUAUUUUUUAAAAUAUAUAUAAUCAAAUCAAAAUUAAAAUUUUAUGUAUAUAUUUAAUCAAAAAAAAGUAUAUAUAAAUUAUAUCACCUUAUUAAAGUUCAUAAAUAGUUUUAAGAAUAAUCACUAUUGUACAUCAAAGAAACAAACGAGAUUAAGAAAUAAAAACAUACACACUGAACUUACGUAAAAAGAUAAUUGAGAAGAUAUUUCAUAUAUUGUUUUAAUGAGAUGGCGGCGUUGGCAAAGGGGGUAUGCUUUGUUCGUUCUUGAAGAAAUUCUCAGGGUCUAUCUUGGCUUUCACACCCACCAGCCUCAUGAAAUUGUUCCUGAAAUACUUUGCCCCGUAUUCCUUCGCAACCUCAAAAUCCGUCUCGCCGCUUUCGUUGCUACCGAUGUCGAGGUCUCGGUAAUUGAAAAACGCUUCCCUCGGGUUGCUCGACGCAUACGGCGCCAUCACAUUGUACAACCUCCUUGACAUCUCCACAUAACGCCCUGUGGCGUUGAUCCCUCCGUCGGACUCGGACCAUUGGAUCCCGUACUGUGCCUUGAAGAGGUUCCCUCUGCGGUGCGCAAAGGCUGUCUCCGACUCCGAUAUCUCCUCCAUUCGCCCACCGUAAGGAUUAAAUUGCACGAAUAUGUCUUCAAUGUCCAUCAACACUUGCCAUAAGGUCUCUAACCCUUGUUUGGGAAUCACUGCUUUGUAGUAAUCGGACUUGGUCUUGUAAAACACUCGGUCUACUUGAACUCUAUUAAGCAACACAUCAAUGGAGGUUCCAUUGGGGAAACCCGCCCAAUUUAAGGCCGAUUCGACCCAACUCAUCUCCGAACAAUCAUUUCUGGUCAAACCCAAUUCAGGGAAUCUUACGUUCAUUAAUCGUAAAAGCCCAUCAGCUUGUCCCAGAAAAUGGCCGAUGAAUGAAACCGUAACAGUUUUAUUGUUGCCGCCAUUGUUGAUAGGCACAAGCUGGAGUCUAAUGAAGAGAUCUUUGGGCAGUUUAGGGGCAACUUGUUGCCAACGAUAAGCCAGCUCCGUUGCGCCUUGUUCCAAGGUCCUUUGCACGGUGAAAAUAGUGACCCUAGGUGGGACACGAACCAGCUUGAUCCGCCAUGAAAGGAUGAUACCGAAGCUAGUAGUUCCACCGCCUCUUAUAGCCCAAAACACGUCUUCCCCCAUUGAUUUACGGUCAAGGAUUCGACCAUUAGUGUCGAUCAAUUGUGCAUCAAUGACAUUAUCAAUGGAAAGCCCGUAUUUUCUCAUUAAAAAUCCAUACCCACCUCCACUGAAGUGUCCACCAAUGCCUAGAGUGGUACAUACACCAGAUGGGAAUCCAUGGACAUCGCUUUUCUGGGCUAUACUAUAAUAAAGUUCGCCGGUAGUAGCUCCGGCUUGAACCCAUGCCGUCUCGGUUUUCAUGUCGAUAUCUAUAGACUUAAGGUUGAACAUAUCGAGGAUAACAAACGGGACGUCGGAAAUAUACGAAAGUCCCUCGUAAUCAUGUCCGCCACUUCGAAUCCUUAGUUGAAAACCAUGACGCUUAGCGCAAAUGACCGCAGCUUGUGCAUGGGAUGGAUGUAGAGCGGUG
rnacentral:lncRNA from 1 species